UCUGCCUCCCGGGUUUAAGCCGUUCUGUACUUCAGCCUCCCAAGUAGCUGGGAUUACAGGCACCUGCCACCAUGCCUGGCUAAUUUUCAUAUUUUCAGUAGAGACAGAGUUUCACCAUCUUGUCCAGGCUCGUCUUGAACUCCUGACCUCGUGAUCCACCCACCUCAGCCUCACAAAGUUCUCAUUACAGGCAUAAACCACUGCGCCGGGCCAAGCCACCUUUCUUUUGGUAUAGCCGUGCCUAAAAGAGGAAGCGCUUCGUGUAGGGAAUUAACAGCAGAAUUGGAAACAUCGUGAUUAUCCUGACACAGAGGGCAGGCUCAGAUAUUGGCUGUCACCAAAGGGUUUUCUGAAGGAUCUAGGUUGCCGAGAGGGUAGAGCUCAGUGGUAGAGCAUGCACGAGGCCCUAGGCUCAAUCCCCAGUACCUCCAGGUUUUGUUUUCUUCCCCGGGACACCAGUAAGAAGCGGUCCAUGAUAUUCCCCAACUUUGGAAUUUUCUGUCAAGGUGAAUUGUGUUGGCCUCUGCAUUUCUCUCUCAUACACAGAGGUGACUCGUGUUUAUUCACUUGAGGUUAUUUGCUGCUUAGGAUUAUCCACCUAUUCUUUCUAAGCAGUCCCAUCAAUCACUAACAUGGACCACGCAUGGGGGAAGCAAGUAGUAUUUCUGGCCAUCCAGCCUAUUUCUAGCUGUAAAUGAAAUCAUCAGAAACCAUAGAACUGUGUGGCCCAAGUCUGAUUUCAGAUUGGAAGCUAAAAGGCUCAAGUCCUUUUCUGUUUCCUUUUCUAACUCCCCCUAACCAGGUUGCAGAAGCCCUACAAGCUUUCACUAAAAGAUUACACUGCCAGGGGUUGACGAUUUGAUGUGCUGGUGGUCAUUUUUUCCAUUGGAGAUCCGCAAACUCUGAAACUUAAACGAUUUAACUACAAACACACAGCAAAUGAUGAAAAGAUAGCGGUCACCUCAGCUGAAAUUUGGUGGAAGUAAAAAGUACUUCUCUGGGUCUUCUGAGGAAGCUUCUGGUGUGAGAUGCAAACACUCUGAACUCCAGGGACCAAGCUCUAUUUCAUGCCAAGGUUACUCAACACCCAGAAGGCAGAACAGCGACCUCUCUCUCUCCAUCUGCAGAAGCCAAGCAAGCGUGUGGGCCUCCGUAUGCAUCCUUUCUUUUAUUCACUUUCUAAAUGCUGUAACGGCUACCAUCUACCAGGUGGUCACAAACCAUCUCUAAAGUCAAUCUGAGGUUAACCCACUCGACUUGUGAGGGAUCCACCUAUACUGCUUCUGCACCUGUAAUAUGACUAAGGAGACGGUGGCUGCACACGUAGUUAACACCGAUUGUACUGUGACUCCGCCUUUCCGCAGCAGCUCUCCGGCUCUUUAGAGUCCUUUUGAGCCAAGCUGGACGUGAGGCAUAAAGGAGCUCUUUGCAAACGCCAGGAGGAAUUUCUUCAGGGUGAAGUUAACUUUCAAUCGGCUUCAUUCUAAGAGAAAUAUGUGAAGCAAACAAACGGGAACUUUUUUUCUCAUCUUUUGCAUUUCAAGCAAAAACUAAUAAAAUUAGAUGUUUCCACCGUCAUGCUCAGUCUCGAAGCUGCCAGCAGAUCCCGCUUCUAACUUUUAACACAGGCACGCAGGAAAUCGGGAAAUCCCUGCAGUUCCCUCAGAAGCUACAGUAUCAGCAGUUCCUGAAGCGCAAACCAAAACCCAACAUCAUGUACCCCUCCAAAGAGCUCAGCCGGUCUGUUGAGGGACGGAAACAGCGGCGAGGUGCUCUGGAAGCCGUGACAGCCUGGCCGAAAUGAACCAGGUCCCUCCUGGUCGAGCCUACCUCCCUAGGGACAAGAAACGUACCUCUCUUCCCUCAUAUCCAGAGGAAGCAAUGGAGGGAUGUGGCGCUUAGACUCACUCUACUAUCCAGUCCAUCGAAGUCCUAAUAAUCUUCAGGAUGCGACAGAGUGAGACUCCGUCUCAACAAAACAAAACAAAACAACCCUAAGGAAAAGAGAGAAUGUACUGGAGGAUAGGAAGUAUCUAGGAGAACCUUCUUUUUUUUUUUUCUUAUAUUUAAAUUUAAGCCUUCAUUUAUAUAAAAUAAAACGCAUGAAACCUAUUCAGCUUAUGGCUUAUUAUAUAUAUAACCAAAAC
rnacentral:lncRNA from 1 species